GUACACGCUGUGACUAGCAUAUCAAUAAGCGGAGGAAAAGAGACUAACAAGGAUUCCCCUAGUAACGGCGAGUGAAGCGGGAAGAGCUCAAAUUUGAAAUCUUAAAGGGUUUCCCUUUACGAAUUGUAGUUUAAAGAAGUGUUUUCUGUUGAGGUUUUGGUAAAAGUUCUUUGGAAUAGGACAUCAUAGAGGGUGAGAAUCCCGUAUUUGACCUUUACUUUCAACUUUGUGAUACACUUUCAAAGAGUCGGAUUGUUUGGGAAUGCAGUCCAAAAUGGGUGGUAAAUUUCAUCUAAAGCUAAAUAUUGGCGAGAGACCGAUAGCGAACAAGUACCGUGAGGGAAAGAUGAAAAGAACUUUGAAAAGAGAGUUAAACAGUACGUGAAAUUGUCAAAAGGGAAGCGUUUGACACCAGUGUUGUUUUUCUGAAAAUCAAUUAAAGAACUGUUUAUGCUAAGCUUGUUUAGACUUUAUCAGCUAUCUGUUUAGUUUUGAGCUUUUCUUUAAUGCACUUUUCAGUUAACAAGUCAACAUCAAUUUCUUUUGCUGUAAAAAAGCUUGAGGAAGGUGGCUUGAGAUUCGUCUUAAGUGUUUAUAGCCUCUUGCCUAUGCAGUCGGAGAGAUUGAGGUCUGCAGCGUAGAUCCUUCGGGGCUAAAUGCAUUUGUGCUAAGUUAUAGCAUUUUAUAGACAACUUGUUGACUAUGAUUUGUCUUGUAGCUUACUCGCUUAUGUUAUUUUACCUACGCUUAGGAUGUUGAAGUCAUCGUAUCGCC
rnacentral:rRNA from 1 species